ACAUGAAGCACCAAGUAACAGCAGUAUAUGCAAUGCUCCGGCGUUCUCAUGUUCUCGGAUCUUAGCGCUGGACCCAAGCUGAUAAACAUAUCUUUCUUGGUGCUCAGUUGGAUCAUACAACUCGUGGAGGACUUAUUCCUGGAACGUGGUCAGUAAUACUGGGUGUCCCUUAUACAGCAGCAACAUAAAACCUUGGUCAGAAACUAGUAUUAGGCUGAAUGGUCAAUUAUCCAGGCUGUGGUGCAAACAUGCUUCAGCAAGAUUCCAAUGGAUGAACUUAUGAUAGUUCAACAGUUGUAGAAGUUAUAGAAAUUAAG
rnacentral:misc_RNA from 1 species